rnacentral:rRNA from 1 species
AUUGAACGCUGGCGGCAGGCCUAACACAUGCAAGUCGGGCGGUAACAGGGAUAGCUUGCUAUCUGCUGACGAGCGGCGGACGGGUGAGUAAUGCAUAGGAAUCUGCCUGAUAGUGGGGGAUAGCCCAGAGAAAUUUGGAUUAAUACCGCAUACGCCCUACGGGGGAAAGCUGGGGACCUUCGGGCCUAGCGCUAUCAGAUGAGCCUAUGUCGGAUUAGCUUGUUGGUGAGGUAACGGCUCACCAAGGCGACGAUCCGUAGCUGGUCUGAGAGGAGAUCAGCCACAC